rnacentral:rRNA from 1 species
UACGUAGGGGGCAAGCGUUGUCCGGAAUCAUUGGGCGUAAAGAGCGUGUAGGCGGUCCGGUAAGUCGGCUGUGAAAGUCCAGGGCUCAACCCUGGGAUGCCGGUCGAUACUGCCGGACUAGAGUUCGGAAGAGGCGAGUGGAAUUCCCGGUGUAGCGGUGAAAUGCGCAGAUAUCGGGAGGAACACCUAUGGCGAAGGCAGCUCGCUGGGACGUUACUGACGCUGAGACGCGGAAAGCGUGGGGAGCAAACAGG